AGGACGACGCUGGCGGCGUGCUUAACACAUGCAAGUCGAACGGUGAACCAGAGCUUGCUCUGGGGAUCAGUGGCGAACGGGUGAGUAACACGUGGGCAACCUGCCCCAGACUCUGGGAUAACCUCGGGAAACCGAUGCUAAUACCGGAUACGACCACUUCGGACAUCCGACGGUGGUGGAAAGUUUUUCGGUCUGGGAUGGGCCCGCGGCCUAUCAGCUAGUUGGUGGGGUAAUGGCCUACCAAGGCGACGACGGGUAGCCGGCCUGAGAGGGCGACCGGCCACACUGGAACUGAGACACGGUCCAGACUCCUACGGGAGGCAGCAGUGGGGAAUAUUGCACAAUGGGCGAAAGCCUGAUGCAGCGACGCCGCGUGAGGGACGACGGCCUUCGGGUUGUAAACCUCUUUCAGCAGGGACGAAGCGAAAGUGACUGUACCUGCAGAAGAAGCACCGGCUAACUACGUG
rnacentral:rRNA from 1 species